rnacentral:rRNA from 1 species
UAAGCGGAGGAAAAGAAACUAACAAGGAUUCCCCUAGUAACUGCGAGUGAAGCGGGAAAAGCUCAAAUUUAAAAUCUGUCAGUCUUUGGCUGUCCGAGUUGUAAUCUAGAGAAGUGUUAUCCGCGCUGGACCGUGUACAAGUCUCCUGGAAUGGAGCGUCAUAGAGGGUGAGAAUCCCGUCUUUGACACGGACUGCCAGGGCUUUUGUGAUGCGCUCUCAAAGAGUCGAGUUGUUUGGGAAUGCAGCUCAAAAUGGGUGGUAAAUUCCAUCUAAAGCUAAAUAUUGGCGAGAGACCGAUAGCGAACAAGUACCGUGAGGGAAAGAUGAAAAGAACUUUGGAAAGAGAGUUAAACAGUACGUGAAAUUGCUGAAAGGGAAACGCUUGAAGUCAGUCGCGUCAUUCAGGGAUCAACCUUGCUUUUGCUUGGUGUACUUUCUGGUUGACGGGUCAGCAUCAAUUUUGACCAUUGGAAAAAGAUUAAGGGAAUGUGGCAUACAUAGUGAUGUGUUAUAGCCCUUGGUUGCAUACAAUGGUUGGGAUUGAGGAACUCAGCACGCCGCAAGGCCGGGUUUUUUAUUAACCACGUACGUGCUUAGGAUGUUGGCAUAAUGGCUUUAAUCGACC